rnacentral:rRNA from 1 species
GACGAACGCUGGCGGCGUGCUUAACACAUGCAAGUCGAACGGAAAGGCCCUGCUUUUGUGGGGUGCUCGAGUGGCGAAGGGGUGAGUAACAUGUGAGUAACCUGCCCUUGACUUUGGGAUAACUUCAGGAAACUGGGGCUAAUACCGGAUAGGAGCUCCUGCUGCAUGGUGGGGGUUGGAAAGUUUCGGCGGUUGGGGAUGGACUCGCGGCUUAUCAGCUUGUUGGUGGGGUAGUGGCUUACCAAGGCUUUGACGGGUAGCCGGCCUGAGAGGGUGACCGGCCACAUUGGGACUGAGAUACGGCCCAGACUCCUACGGGAGGCAGCAGUGGGGAAUAUUGCACAAUGGGCGGAAGCCUGAUGCAGCAACGCCGCGUGCGGGAUGACGGCCUUCGGGUUGUAAACCGCUUUCGCCUGUGACGAAGCGUGAGUGACGGUAAUGGGUAAAGAAGCACCGGCUAACUACGUG